rnacentral:rRNA from 1 species
GAUGAACGCUGGCGGCGUGCCUAAUACAUGCAAGUCGAACGAAGCCUUCGGGCUUAGUGGCGAACGGGUGAGUAACACGUUGGUACCUACCCUCUAGUGGGGAAUAACUGGCCGAAAGGUCGGCUAAUACCGCAUAAUACCGCAAGGUUAAAGCAGCAAUGCGCUAGAGGAGGGUCCUGCGUCCCAUUAGCUUGUUGGUAGUGUAAUGGACUACUAAGGCUUCGACGGGUAGCCGGCCUGAGAGGGUGACCGGCCACACUGGGACUGAGACACGGCCCAGACUCCUACGGGAGGCAGCAGUGGGGAAUAUUGGACAAUGUGCGGAAGCCUGAUCCAGCAACGCCGCGUGAGGGAUGACGGCCUUCGGGUUGUAAACCUCUUUCAGCACCGACGAAGCGCAAGUGACGGUAGGUGCAGAAGAAGGACCGGCCAACUACGUGCCAGCCGCCGCAGUAA